rnacentral:rRNA from 1 species
AACGUAGGUGGCGAGCGUUAUCCGGAAUUACUGGGCGUAAAGCGUGCGCAGGCGGUGAUGUAAGACAGAUGUGAAAUCCCCGGGCUUAACCUGGGAACUGCAUUUGUGACUGCAUGGCUGGAGUGCGGCAGAGGGGGAUGGAAUUCCGCGUGUAGCAGUGAAAUGCGUAGAUAUCCGGAGGAACACCAGUGGCGAAAGCGGCCACCUGGACUGCACCUGACGCUGACACGCGAAAGCUAGGGGAGCGAACGGG